GAUGAACCNACGUUCGGGUGGGGAUUAGUGGCGAACGGGUGAGUAACACGUGGGCAAUCUGCCCUGCACUCUGGGACAAGCCCUGGAAACGGGGUCUAAUACCGGAUACUGACCUGCCAAGGCAUCUUGGCGGGUCGAAAGCUCCGGCGGUGCAGGAUGAGCCCGCGGCCUAUCAGCUUGUUGGUGAGGUAAUGGCUCACCAAGGCGACGACGGGUAGCCGGCCUGAGAGGGCGACCGGCCACACUGGGACUGAGACACGGCCCAGACUCCUACGGGAGGCAGCAGUGGGGAAUAUUGCACAAUGGGCGCAAGCCUGAUGCAGCGACGCCGCGUGAGGGAUGACGGCCUUCGGGUUGUAAACCUCUUUCAGCAGGGAAGAAGCGAAAGUGACGGUACCUGCAGAAGAAGCGCCGGCUAACUACGUGCCAGCAGCCGCGGUAAUACGUAGGGCGCAAGCGUUGUCCGGAAUUAUUGGGCGUAAAGAGCUCGUAGGCGGCUUGUCGCGUCGGUUGUGAAAGCCCGGGGCUUAACCCCGGGUCUGCAGUCGAUACGGGCAGGCUAGAGUUCGGUAGGGGAGAUCGGAAUUCCUGGUGUAGCGGUGAAAUGCGCAGAUAUCAGGAGGAACACCGGUGGCGAAGGCGGAUCUCUGGGCCGAUACUGACGCUGAGGAGCGAAAGCGUGGGGAGCGAACAGGAUUAGAUACCCUGGUAGUCCACGCCGUAAACGGUGGGCACUAGGUGUGGGCAACAUUCCACGUUGUCCGUGCCGCAGCUAACGCAUUAAGUGCCCCGCCUGGGGAGUACGGCCGCAAGGCUAAANCUCAANGGAAUUGACGGGGGCCCGCACAAGCGGCGGAGCAUGUGGCUUAAUUCGACGCAACGCGAANANCCUUACCAAGGCUUGACAUACACCGGAANGCAUCANANAUGGUGCCCCCCUUGNGNUCNNUGUACAGGGUGGUGCAUGGNNG
rnacentral:rRNA from 1 species